GCAGCACAAUGAGUCAGUGUGUUUAGCUGUUAACCAGAAGGUUGGUGGUUCAAGCCCUCCAGGGACCA